AUUAAACGCUGGCGGCAUGCCUUACACAUGCAAGUCGAACGGUAGCGCGGGGCAACCUGGCGACGAGUGGCGAACGGGUGAGUAAAGCAUCGGAACGUGCCCUGGAAUGGGGGAUAACGUAGCGAAAGUUACGCUAAUACCGCAUAUUCUGUGAGCAGGAAAGCAGGGGAUCGCAAGACCUUGCGUUCCGGGAGCGGCCGAUGUCGGAUUAGCUAGUUGGUGGGGUAAAAGCCUACCAAGGCGACGAUCCGUAGCGGGUCUGAGAGGAUGAUCCGCCACACUGGGACUGAGACACGGCCCAGACUCCUACGGGAGGCAGCAGUGGGGAAUUUUGGACAAUGGGCGGAAGCCUGAUCCAGCCAUGCCGCGUGAGUGAAGAAGGCCUCGGUGUAAGCUCUUCGUGGGAGAAU
rnacentral:rRNA from 1 species